GAUGAACGCUGGCGGCGUGCCUAAUACAUGCAAGUCGAGCGAACGGACGAGAAGCUUGCUUCUCUGAUGUUAGCGGCGGACGGGUGAGUAACACGUGGAUAACCUACCUAUAAGACUGGGAUAACUUCGGGAAACCGGAGCUAAUACCGGAUGAUAUUUUGAACCGCAUGGUUCAAAAGUGAAAGACGGUCUUGCUGUCACUUAUAGAUGGAUCCGCGCUGCAUUAGCUAGUUGGUAAGGUAACGGCUUACCAAGGCUACGAUGCAUAGCCGACCUGAGAGGGUGAUCGGCCACACUGGAACUGAGACACGGUCCAGACUCCUACGGGAGGCAGCAGUAGGGAAUCUUCCGCAAUGGGCGAAAGCCUGACGGAGCAACGCCGCGUGAGUGAUGAAGGUCUUCGGAUCGUAAAACUCUGUUAUUAGGGAAGAACAUAUGUGUAAGUAACUGUGCACAUCUUGACGGUACCUAAUCAGAAAGCCACGGCUAACUACGUG
rnacentral:rRNA from 1 species